AACGUAGGGCGCGAGCGUUGUUCGGAAUUACUGGGCGUAAAGGGCUCGUAGGCGGCCAACUAAGUCAGACGUGAAAUCCCUCGGCUUAACCGGGGAACUGCGUCUGAUACUGGAUGGCUUGAGAUUGGGAGAGGGAUGCGGAAUUCCAGGUGUAGCGGUGAAAUGCGUAGAUAUCUGGAGGAACACCGGUGGCGAAGGCGGCAUCCUGGACCAACACUGACGCUGAGGGAGCGAAAGCCAGGGGAGCAAACGGG
rnacentral:rRNA from 1 species